rnacentral:rRNA from 1 species
GACGAACGCUGGCGGCGUGCUUAACACAUGCAAGUCGAACGCACCUUCGGGUGAGUGGCGGACGGGUGAGUAACGCGUAGGUAAUCUACUCUUCAGUGGGGGAUACCCAGCCGAAAGGUUGGUAAUACCGCAUACGCUCCUGUGCAGAGAGGUACAGGAGGAAAGGUUUACUGCUGAGGAAUGAGCCUGCGUCCGAUUAGCUAGUUGGUGGGGUAAAGGCUCACCAAGGCGACGAUCGGUAGCUGGUCUGAGAGGACGAUCAGCCACACUGGAACUGAGACACGGUCCAGACUCCUACGGGAGGCAGCAGUGGGGAAUUUUCCGCAAUGGGCGAAAGCCUGACGGAGCAACGCCGCGUGGGUGAUGGAAGUUUUUCGGAACGUAAAACCCUUUCGCCA